rnacentral:rRNA from 1 species
GCCGAAUUUGGGAGGGGUGGAGAGGUCUGUGAAGAGGGCAGGGCAGAGGUCGUUUGGAGGGUAGAGGCAGAUCGCAGCCGCCGUCAAGGUGAGGGAGCGGUACCCGUUCUAAUUCUAGCCUUAGUUGCCAAAGCCUUCCUAGCCCUCCGAGCAGCGGUCCCAGCGGGAGGUCUCGCUGCUACAGCUCGAGCAGCGGCAGUUGCUGGGGAAGUAGUGGUGGCUCAUGUACUGGAUGUACAAGUUCAUGCUGUGGCAAGUGCCGGUGACCUUCGUGUCGCUGUAGUUCGAGUUCCUGCUGUUCUGAGACGAGAAACCGCUCUUCGGUCAAUGGCAGAAACCGCAGUCCUUGGGACUCCUCUAGGGCACCCCACUCCGACCACGGCUAAUGCAACACCUCAGGUGGCCACAGAAGUGACUGUUCCUGUUCCGGCGACGAGUGAACUUCCCACCACGGUUCUUCCACCAGUAGAGACGGGGUUCGUUUCUACGGGGAUACAAACACCAACCACAGUUACUCCUGUUCAUGUGGAGUCUGCAAUUGUAACAGAGUUUACGAUCGACGUGGUGAUUGACGGAACGAGGGGAUCGAUUCUAGUAAUUACUGUUGAAGCCAUAAUAACUCCCAAACUACUGGUGACAAGUACGGUAGUGACGGUGUGUCUUCUGGCAACUACCAGGGAGCUCGUUCCUGACCUCUCCACCGUCCCGGCGUUCGAAAUUGUAGUAAGGGUCGUCGUGACCACGACGGUUCCGACAACCAUUCCAAGAAGGACUCGACUUACCGUUCGAAUGCCCAUACAGAAAGGCCCAAGGGUGACACCUACACAGUCAACAACUAGAGUGACAAUCUUGGCUCUUCCGACGUAGUAUACUACUGUAGUUCUUCCGAUAGUUCCGACGUAGGCUCCCUUUUGAGUUCCCCUAGUACCCAAUGCAGCUCCUCCUAAACCAGAGGUGACUAAAACAGCCACUGUCGUCCAGCUCGUAGAAACUACGGUUCCGACCUUAACGAGACUUGCUGGUGAAGCAGUUCGAACAGAGCACCAUACUGUUGCUCACCCCAAUGUCGUUGGCGCAACAGCUGGACUAGGCGGUGUACCGGUUCUGAGUCAUCUCGCAAGACGAAAGCAAACACCGCGGACCAGUCUCCACAGGGACGAAACAGAUACGCUUCUUAUUUACACCUACCACAGCGGUCUGCUGCGGACCAAGUAUUAUAUAUUUAGCAAGUCAGGUCAUGAGUUGAGGGAAAGACAGACCGAAAAGCGGAGCAGGCACCGAACCUAAAGACGAAAACGGAACAAACUCCAAGAGC